CCUACGGGAGGCAGCAGUAGGGAAUCUUCCACAAUGGGCGAAAGCCUGAUGGAGCAACGCCGCGUGGGUGAAGAAGGUCUUCGGAUCGUAAAACCCUGUUGUUAGAGAAGAAAGUGCGAGAGAGUAACUGUUCACGUUUCGACGGUAUCUAACCAGAAAGCCACGGCUAACUCCGUGCCAGCAGCCGCGGUAAUACGUAGGUGGCAAGCGUUAUCCGGAUUUAUUGGGCGUAAAGGGAGCGUAGGCGGGCGUUCAAGUCAGCUGUAAAAUCGCGCGGCUCAACCGCGCCCCGCAGUUGAAACUGGACGCCUUGAGUUCACAACAGGCAGGCGGAAUUCGUGGUGUAGCGGUGAAAUGCAGAGAGAGCACGAGGAACCCCGAUUGCGAAGGCAGCCUGCCGGGGUGCGACUGACGCUGAGGCUCGAAGGUGCGGGUAGCAAACAGGAUUAGAUACCCGGGUAGUC
rnacentral:rRNA from 1 species